CCAAUCCAAUUCAGCGCACACGUAAACAAGAAAAUCUAAGUAAAAAAACAUGGAGCAAGCCUUCUAAGCCUACAUAUACCUUGGAGCCCUACUAGUUUUCUUGCCUCAACUAUACUGAAUACCUCAGUCUGCUUCGUAAACUGAUGGCAGUUAAUCAUGGACCGGCACAAAGGGAGAAUACCACACUUUAUGAAUAGACCCCCAAAGGCUGCAUUUACUUUUCACACAGCUCUACUGUGUGGCCUACAGAGGAUGGUCUCGGAGCAGUCCCUGCAGAACAAAGUUUGGUGGCUGCUGAAGCCCCAACCUGGACACCUCAUUUCUCUGGGACAGCCAGGCUGGUCUUUGUGCUUCAGUAUGAAACCAAGACAGGCAGGUCCCCAUGUAUACAAAUACAGCUCGAUAAGUAUCUUGCUCUUUUCCCAUCAUUGUUAAUUACCAAGUUAUUUGUGUGUAAACAGAAGCUUUUGAUUUCCUAAUCAGCCUCCUGCCCGAUUCAUUCAGAGAUGUCACACACCAGAGUUUGACAGCACAAUUAGUCACCAUGGAAGCUAUUGUGAUGUCACAAACACUGAAUUGUGGCAUCAUUGAAUGAAUCUGGCAGGAGAAGGAUGUUGGUUACAAAGGAGAAGGCUUCUGUUUACACAAUACCUUGGCAAUCAGCAAUGAUGGGAAAGGGAAUAUAGAAAAAGAGAGCCUGGUAGUUUAAUGAGCAUUGAUAAAACUGAAAAUGUGUAAAGGUUGUUAGAAGCCUGCAUGUGGCAUAUUAAGCUACGGAGAUAAAGUCUCUGUAUUGAUACCUUCAUUCUCCACCAGCCUGUCCUGUGUUCUCACAGCUGAAAGUCUAUCAUGGGCAGAUACAAAUGAGUGUUUCAUAUUAUUUUUCCCACACAUUCCUGUAUCAGUAAAGACAGUCAAUAAACCCACUCAUUG